CCUACGGGAGGCAGCAGUAGGGAAUAUUGGACAAUGGACGCAAGUCUGAUCCAGCCAUCCCGCGUGAAGGAUUAAGGCCCUAUGGGUUGUAAACUUCUUUUCUUUGGGAAUAAAAAGCGGUAUUCAUAUCGCCUUGAAGGUACCAGAGGAAUAAGCACCGGCUAACUCCGUGCCAGCAGCCGCGGUAAUACGGAGGGUGCAAGCGUUAUCCGGAUUCACUGGGUUUAAAGGGUGCGUAGGUGGCUUUGUAAGUCAGCGGUGAAAGCCUGGAGCUCAACUCCAGAAUUGCCAUUGAUACUGCAGAGCUUGAAUCAAGUUGAGGUGGAUGGAAUAUUACAUGUAGCGGUGAAAUGCUUAGAUAUGUAAUAGAACACCGAUUGCGAAGGCAGUUCACUAAGCUUGUAUUGACACUGAGGCACGAAAGCGUGGGGAUCAAACAGGAUUAGAUACCCUGGUAGUCCACGCCCUAAACGAUGCAAACUCGACAUUAGCGAUAUACAGUUAGUGUCCAAGCGAAAGCGUUAAGUUUGCCACCUGGGAAGUACGACCGCAAGGUUGAAACUCAAAGGAAUUGACCGGNGNGAGAGNGCGACGACGACGACGAGGGAGGAGG
rnacentral:rRNA from 1 species